rnacentral:misc_RNA from 1 species
AAGUCGUAACAAGGUUUCCGUAGGUGAACCUGCGGAAGGAUCAUUAUCGAGUUUUGAACGGGUUGUCUGCUGGCUCGCGAGAGCAUGUGCACGCCUGUCUCAUCCACUCUCAACUUCUGUGCACUUUUCAUAGGCCGGCUUGUGGGUGCGUUCGCGCACUUGUAGGUGUCGGGCUUAUGCUUUACUACAAACGAUUCAGUUUUAGAAUGUCAUACUUUGCUAUAACGCAAUUUAUAUACAACUUUCAGCAACGGAUCUCUUGGCUCUC